GGUACUGUAUCUGUUACGUCUUGAAAUUGAACUCUCUUUACCUGUAGCAUUAAACUUACAGUUUUUCCAAUUUACGCCAGGUGCGCACUACACUCUCUCAGCUUCACUGAAUUUUUUUCCCCUUAAUUAGCGGACCCCGGAAAACGAGCUGGUCCCAGCCACUCCUGAAGACCUGAUGAAUCAUUUGAGAAUUUUGGCAUCCGUAUUCAUCUUAUUUUGGUCUUUUGAGUAAUGGGUUGCAUUCAUUCAAGAGCAUGUAUUGGUCAGUUAUGUGUAACCCGAGAUGCUGAGGUUAAACAAAGUGAAACUGUGAAAACAGCGGCUGAGAUUGCAGUGUUCUCACCUGCUCAAUCUGAUGAUGAAGGGGAAAUUAGAGAUCAAGUAAAUCAGUUAGGUUCAACAAAGGAUAAUGAAGUGGGUAUAACUCGGCUGUCCAGGGUGUCAGCCCAGUUUCUACCUCAUGACAGUUCACGAACUGUAAAGGUUCCAUCAGAGAGUUAUGAACUAUGCUACUCAUUUCUGUCUCAGAGAGGUUACUACCCUGAUGCCCUUGAUAAGGCCAACCAGGACAGUUUUUGUAUUCACUCUCCAUUUGGGAUGAGCCCAAAUGAUCAUUUCUUUGGGGUUUUUGAUGGACAUGGGGAAUUUGGAGCUCAAUGCUCACAAUUUGUAAAGCAGAAGUUAUGUGAAAAUUUGCUUAGGAACAGUCAAUUUCAAACUGAUGCAGUUGAAGCAUGCCAUUCUGCUUUUGUGAUGACGAAUUCACAGUUGCAUGCUGAUACAAUAGAUGAUAGCAUGAGUGGAACAACUGCAAUUACAGUACUAGUUCGAGGUAGGAUGCUUUAUAUUGCCAAUUCAGGUGAUUCGAGGGCUGUUGUAGGCGAGAAAAGAGGGGAGGACAUUGUUGCUGUUGACCUAUCAACUGAUCAUACUCCUUUCCGGGUUGAUGAACUUGAACGUGUGAAGCUUUGUGGAGCUAGAGUUCUCACCUUGGAUCAGAUUGAAGGACUCAAGGACCCAGAUGUACAGUGUUGGGGAACUGAAGAAGAUGAUGAUGGUGAUCCUCCCAGAAUUUGGGUGCAAAAUGGUAUGUAUCCAGGUACAGCUUUCACAAGAAGUAUAGGUGAUUCUAUUGCUGAGACAAUAGGUGUAGUUGCAAACCCAGAAAUCGUUGUCUUGGAGCUUGCACCAAAUCAUCCUUUCUUUGUGAUUGCUAGUGAUGGUGUAUUCGAGUUCCUUUCAAGCCAAACCGUGGUGGACAUGGUUGCAAAAUACAAGGACCCCCGUGAUGCAUGUGCUGCAAUUGUUGCUGAAUCAUAUCGUCUUUGGCUUCAAUAUGAAACUCGUACUGAUGACAUUACUGUGAUUGUUGUUCAUGUAAAUGGAUUAAAUGAUGCUGCACUCUAUCGACCAACAAGUUCUUUUGCAUUUACAAAACCUGCUUUGCCUCAAGUGGUUGAAGUAUCCGGAUCAGAGUGUCCAUCGCAUAUGAGAUGGAAUUCUAGAAGCCAUCAUGCACGGCAUGAUAUAUCACGGUCUAGACUGCGGUCUAUUGAAAGCUCUCUAGAGAAUGGUCAAGCAUGGGUUCCCCCUUCUCCAGCCCACAGAAAGACUUGGGAAGAAGAAGCUCGGAUUGGACGGGCUUUGAACGAUCAUUUUCUUUUUAGAAAACUUACGGACUCCCAGUGUCAUGCUUUGUUAGACUGCAUGCAAAGAGUUGAGGUUCAAGCAGGAGACGUUGUAGUUGAACAGGGUGGAGAAGGUGAAUGUUUCUACAUUGUUGGCAAUGGAGAAUUUGAGGUCUUCGCUACGCAGGCUCAAUUGAUUUCAUUUCCAGUAUCUAAUAUGCCAUCUCUGACUUGGAGCAUAUUAUGUCAGGAAGAGAAAAUUGGAGAAGUGCCUAGGGUUCUACAACGUUAUACAGCUGAAAAGUUAUCUUCCUUUGGGGAGCUGGCACUGAUGUCUAAUAAACCCCUUCAAGCUUCUGUCAGAGCAGUGACUAAUGGAACUCUUUGGGCACUUAAAAGAGAGGAUUUUAGAGGAAUCCUCAUGACUGAGUUUUCUAAUUUGUCGUUAUUGAAGUUACUUCGAUCGGUAGAUAUUCUUUCAAGGUUGCCAAUUUUACAGCUGAGUCAUAUUGCAGAUUCACUUUCACAAUUGUCUUUUUCUGAUGGGCAGACAAUUGUUGAUAAGAGUGAGGAUCUUCUGGGAAUGUAUAUCAUCCAGAAGGGUGUGGUGAAAAUUACUUGUGACGUAGAUUCAGCAAAAAAUGUAAAUGCACCUAGUAUUAUACCUCCAUCUGACAAUCACUAUGAUGAUAUAACCAACGAGAGUCUCUCUGUGGAGAAGACUGAGGGGAGCUAUUUUGGAGAAUGGAAACUUCUUGGUGAAGAUAUUUCUCCCUUUAGAGUUGUCGCUGUGGGCGAUGUCGUAUGCUCUGUCUUAACAAGGGAAAAGUUUGAUGCAGUUGUUGGCCCUCUGGCAAGGUCUUCGCAGGAUGAUCAAAAGUCAAAGGACUACUCUACUAGUUUCUUCUUGGAAUCUAACAAAAAAUUGGACAAUUUAUCUAUUGAGAAGGUCCAGCUCGUUGAUUUGGAGUGGAGAACGUGUUUGUAUUCUACGGACUGCUGUGAGAUUGGCCUUGUAAGUUUGAGAGACACAGAAAAUUUUCUGAGCUUGAAGAGGUUUUCUAAACAGAAGGUUAAAAAACUUGGAAAAGAAGCGCAAGUCCUGAAAGAAAAGUAUCUGAUGACGAAUAUAAACCCGUCUGCUAGUGUUCCUCGAAUUAUAUGCACUUCUGCUGACUAUACACAUGCUGGCAUACUUCUAGAUACGCGUAUUGCUUGCUCUUUGACCUCAAUAAUUUACAAGGCACUUGAUGAACCAUCUGCACGGUUCAUUGCGGCCUCUGUUGUUAUUGCCCUGGAAAAUUUGCACAAGAAUGGCAUUCUCUAUCGAGGCGUGACCCCUGAUGUUCUAAUGUUAGAUCAGGCAGGAUAUAUAAAGCUAGUGGACUUCAGGUUCGGGAAGAAGUUUUCUGAUGAUUGUGGUGAGAGAACAUACACCAUAUGUGGUAUGGCAGAUACUUUGGCCCCAGAAAUUAUCCAAGGGAAAGGCCAUGGUUUUCCAGCUGACUGGUGGGCACUUGGAGCUUUGAUCUACUUCAUGCUAUACAGUGAAAUGCCUUUUGGUUCUUGGAGAGAAAGUGAGCUCACGUUUGCUAGAAUUGUGAAAGGACAGCUAACCCUCCCACAAACUUUCAGCCUUAAAGCUGUUGAUCUCAUUACUAAGUUAUUAGACGUUGAUGAAAGCACUAGACUUGGAAGUCAAGGCAUUGACACUAUUAAAAGUCAUCCAUGGUUCGACGAUAUUGAUUGGAAAGCUUUAGCAGACAAUACUUCUCCUGUUCCCCAUGAGAUUAUCUCGCGUUUAAAUCAAUACCUGGAAAGUCACCCUGAAGAUGCAGCACCUUUGUUGAAUUCUCCAUUACGAGAGGUGGAAGAACUUAACACCCCAGAAUGGCUUGAAGACUGGUAGAACAGUUUAAUUGGCUUAUCGCCUCUUGUUCCCUCUACAACUGCAUUUUUUCCCUCUUCAGUCUACUGGUGGGCUAUUUACCAUAAUGAUCCAUGACUACCCCUGUUGGAAUGAAGAGGCACAUUGUUAUAUAUCCUGUACAUGAUUUAUCUGUAGCCAUGGAGUAGUACCACUUCUGCAGCUUAUAGAGGCUUUGACUGGGUUAGCCAAUUCUUGAUCGGGUUCUUAGAAAUCUUGUCCAGCAGCAGCCUGGAUCGAUUCGAGUUCCAGUUCAGACCUGUUGAUCCUGUCUGGUUCUUAUAAAUAUGGUAGGAUGUAAGGUAUCCAUAUUGGAAGUAUUGUAAUUACAUACCAUUGACUCGAGCUAAGCUUGCAAGAACCAAAUGAAGUAUGUCCGGACCAUGAUCAUGACCCUACCUUGGUUGAUCAAACAAAUGUGGUACAUAUAAAUUUAUAAAUCUUAUCCUAGUAGAUUCAGUGCAUGCAGACAUGGACUUAUCGUUCUUCAAUAAUAUUGUGGUACACAGUAUCAGUGUAGUUUUUUUACACUAACAAAACAUGACUUGAAAUACAAUGCGAUACGCAAUGUAUAGAGAAAAUAUUGGGUCUGCUUCCCUCUGGUACUUUUUUUGCUAGAGAAUAUUGAGUGCAUAUUUUCAAAUUUUACAUUCAAGGAACUCAACCCAUCUAACUUUGUAUAAUUAUAUUCGUGUACUUGGGGAUCUGUUCUUUCUAA